CUGAAGACAGUACAUUGUUAUGGCUGAAAGAGGUUAUGUGAGGCAUAGGAAGAAAAGACAAAGAAAAUUUAUUUUUGAGAGACUAAAUGAGUUAAUUGUCAUCUUUGAGAAAUGCUAUAGAGAUGUUUUGAGAGAAUUGAGUUUAAUUCUUAAGCUGGAAGGAAGAUCUGCUAUAUAGAUAAGAAAUACUGAACAAAAAUCUUGAGAGACUGUCAUCCUGAGAGAAUUGAAUGGAGGGACUAUGAUUCUGAAGAAAAGUCUGUAGUUGCAGUUAAUGUUUUCCCUGUUGUGCUUGAUAAUAAAGACUUUAAAAUUGCUCAAAAGAAGGGUGCUAUUUUUAAGAAGUAGAACAAGAAGGAAAAGCCUGUUUCUCUUCCUCAGACAAGAAACGAUUUGUCACUAUUCAUUUAAAGCUACUUUUCAAGAAUUUUUCCUGUCUGCAUUAAGGAAGAAAAAACAAACCAGAUGACAAAGCAAGACAAGUUCUGUGUUUUACUUUCCUCAGAGAAGUGAAACAGAAUAUUCUUUGUUUCAGCUGCUCCAGUGGAUUCUCUUUUCAAAUUGGUCAGGUAUAUAUCAGGUAUUAUUAAAAGACGGUUCCACAGCAGAGACAAACAAUGAGCAAAGAUGCAAACUGUGUUUCUCUUUACACUUCUGUAUCCAAAACCAGUUGUUUAUUAGUAUGAAUAAAAGUCACUGUCUUAAUCAUAUAGACUCGAUAAAGGAAAAGGGCUAAUCACAAAGACAUGAGUUGUGUUUCUCUUUACAUUCCUGUAUCCAAAGCCAAUUGUUUAUUAAUAUGAAUAAAAGUCAGUGUCUUAAUCAUACAAACUUUGUAAAGGAAAACUGCUGAUGUUUCCCAAUUAUUCGAAUGUUUUGAUUUCACUUCCUUCUUUGCUAUGCUUCUGCCUCUCAGAAUUUCACCACCUUCUUCCGUGUAACAUCUCUCCUCCAGGCUCCCCCCCUUCUCUCUUCAGUGAGCUCCUUUUGUGGGGAAAGAAGGGCUUUGGAGGGCUAUGCUUCACUCCCUUCUUGGCUAUGUUUCUUACUCUCUUCCCAGUAAGGUACCACCCCCAUUUCAGCUCCCAUUUAUGUGCUGUCUUUCUCAUUAGAAUGUAAGCCCCUAGAGGGCAAGAACUCUUUUUUUGCCUGUAUUUGUAUUUCUAUUGCUUUGCACAUGCCUGACAUAGAGUAAACAAUUCAUAAAUUUGCUUGCU